CAUUGAAACACCGGUUCCUGUAUGAUCACCGAAGUUAAGCAAUUUUGAUCCUGGUCACUACCUAAAUGGGUGACCACUUGGGUAUACCAGGUGCUGUAAG